rnacentral:lncRNA from 1 species
AAGGGGCGUCAUAUUGCUUUUGCGCACAAGGAGAGACUCCAUGCGUCAAGAGAAAAAUUCUCUUGCACGUGGAACUUAGAAAAUCAGUGCCCAACCCUUGGCUUAACAAGCCAAGGGUCAACCCAAUUUAAACUCAAAAGAAGAUUGAAUUUAAUUGGAUCUAAUUAGUCCAAAUUAGGAAUCAAAUCGAAUCUGAUUCAAAUAUGGGAGCU